CUGGGGAUGGGGAUAGCCUGUGGAAACACAGGGUAAUACCGGAUAAGCUCGUAUUUAUUGAAAAGGAUGCGAGGAAAAGAGCUACGGCUCUGCCCCGGGAUGAGCUUGCGGCCCAUUGGCUAGUUGGUGGGGUAAAGGCCUACCAAGGCGACGAUGGGUAGCCGGCCUGAGAGGGUGAACGGCCACAUUGGGACUGAGACACGGCCCAGACUCCUACGGGAGGCAGCAGCUAAGAAUCUUCCGCAAUGGGGGAAACCCUGACGGAGCGACGCCGCGUGAACGAAGAAGGCAGAGAUGUUGUAAAGUUCUUUUCCUGUUGAAGAAUAAGAGUGAGAGGGAAUGCUCGCUUGAUGACGUUAGACAGGGAAUAAGCCACGGCUAAUUACGUGCCAGCAGCCGCGGUAACACGUAAGUGGCAAGCGUUGUUCGGAUUCAUUGGGCGUAAAGGGCGCGUAGGCGGCACUUCAAGCUUGGUGUGAAAUAUUUCGGCUUAACCGAAAAGACGCGCUGAGAACUGAAAUGCUAGAGUUUAAGAGGGGGAGUUAGAAUUCCAGGUGUAGGGGUGAAAUCUGUAGAUAUCUGGAAGAAUACCGGUGGCGAAGGCGAACUCCUGGCAAUAAACUGACGCUGAGGCGCGAAAGCGUGGGUAGCAAACAGGAUUAGAUACCCUGGUAGUCCACGCUGUAAACGAUGUGCACUAAGUGUUGGAUGUUUAUCAUUCAGUGCUGAAGCGAACGUGAUAAGUGCACCGCCUGGGGAGUAUGCUCGCAAG
rnacentral:rRNA from 1 species